AUGAAUAAAUACGGCAAGAGCCCUCUCUCUCUCUCUCUCGCUCUAACACAACGCACUGGAGAUGAGAUAGAGAGAAGGUUACUUCAGAGAAAGAGAAAGAGGAAGAUAGAAAGAGAGAGCGAGAGAAUGGGGAGGAGGGCGUGCAGUGCGAAGGAAGGGAUGAAGAGAGGGGCAUGGACGAGCAAGGAGGACGAAACCUUGGCCUCGUACAUCAAGGCCCAUGGCGAAGGCAGAUGGAAGGAAGUCCCCCUCAAAGCUGGUGUCCUUUCCUACAGAGUUGACCCGUGUCAAACGACGAAGCGAUUACAAUGA
rnacentral:rRNA from 1 species